UACGUAGGCAGCAAGCGUUGUUCGGAGUUACUGGGCGUAAAGGGUGCGUAGGCGGUCCUAUAAGUAUGGUGUGAAAUCUCCCGGCUUAACUGGGAGGGUGCGCUAUAGACUGUGGGACUAGAGUGUGGGAGAGGAAAGUGGAAUUCCUGGUGUAGCGGUGGGAUGCGUAGAGAUCCGGAAGAACACCGGUGGCGAAGGCGGCCCGCUGGGCAGAGACUGACGCUGAGGCGCGGACAGCGUGGGGGAGCAAACAGG
rnacentral:rRNA from 1 species